rnacentral:lncRNA from 1 species
UAUAGCUGACGUUUUGCCGUAAAUCAGCUUCACUUGAUCACACUGAUCAUGGCCUGAUAUCCCAUUUCUGAUCCUCCACACUUUCCAGCAUUUCUCUGUUGAUCAGAUGAUGGGCAGAGGGAGAAGGCUGCCACAGUGAUCCACCCAUCCUUACUGACAGACACACACUGGGAGCUGCAAACCCCACAACUGGUGCUGCAAAGAAGGAAGGCAGGCGGAUAGUCUGAGAAUCAUCUCACCUGUUGCCUGCCUGAACCAAGAACCAGAUCUCAGAGAAGGACUGUGCCUUACUAGCUGGUUGCAGAUCUACUAGGAUCCUAACAUUGAGAGAGAUCUAACAGGAAAAGAACCCUUGCCAAGAGAGUGGGACUGUUACCUGUUAGUGCAGUCAAGAGCCUGUGGGUCUGACAGCUGACAUCAACAGAAAUUCUCCUUUCAGGCUGAGCAGGUUAAGUAAUGUUUCCUAGCACAGCUGUGUAAUGUGUCUGUUGGUAAUUAAAAGAGUCUGCUAGAGCUGGUUAAGGAAAAGCAUAGUAUGAAGCAUUUUCUAUCAGAAAAUAGUUUUGUGAAGAAUUAAAAUCUG